UAAGCCAGACCCGAACAGGUACCGACGAGAGAAAAGAAGAAGAAAAGCAACCAGCGCCUCGCACGACCCUGCCCCUCGAUCCCAUAUACACCUCCUUCCUGCCGCCACCUCCUGCCCCGCGCCGCCCGCCCCACACCGCCUCGAUUGGGACCGUGUCCCUCCCUAAACGACGGCGAUGAUGGAGGGCGCCGCCCAGCUCCUGGCUGACGGAUUUGCUAGCUCCCCGCUCCUCGGGGCCAGCCCCUCCCCGUGCCGAGUCGAGCAUCGACUUGGAGGCCCCUUGGGGCUGCCGCCGGUGCGGGAGUUCCGUGCGGCCGUGCGGGCUGGGUACCGAGCGGCGGGGCCCGUGGUGCGACGCUCGAUGGAUGGCCUGCACAACGCGGACGACUGCUUCUCUCCCAGGAGGUCCAUAGGAAGCCACUACAUGUCGGAGCUGUUGCAGGAGCACCAGAAGCUUAUCCUGUUCACACAGGUGCUACCAAUCUGCAUCAAACUAUUGGGCCACUAUGAGAGCCUCGAUUCACUCCCUCGCCGCCGCCCGGUCUACCAUUAUUGGCCUAGGCGUCUCACUUGUCACAUAUUGUUAUCAACUCAGGUAUGGUAUCUGGAAAAUCGUUAUUCUACCAAGAGAACAUUUCUUACUUUGGUUUCUAGGCAAUAUGAAAGUAAUGAGUAAACAUAACCCGCUGAAACAAAAACAUGGUGAAGUAGCUGACUGUAUAUUUUGCUUGGAGAUGAUACUGUUCACUGUCCAUAUUUUGUUUGUAUGGUGGCUGUACUUUGUAACGCUAGCAUGGAUGUCUGUUAUAAAAUAUACAAUAUCUAGAUUUUUGCUGGGUAAAGAAAUUUGCAGCUCCGAAUACUUUAUAUUUCCCGGUUGUUCUUAAUUUCGGAAGUAUGCAUGGGAACGCUGGGAUGACGUGUUUCAGAGAAUUCAGUGACUUGGUUCAACUAGACAAGGAUCAUUUCAACGCAAAGGACUCUCAUGUUACAGCCUAUUGACCACUGCAGUGUGUACUCCUGGAAUUGAUAGCGAAUGAAAGCGCCAUAGACAUUGCAGGGGAGAUAAAAUUUCUAGAUGUUAUUAGGUCUCACCAAUUUGUACUGCUGUUCACUCUAUAGUCUGGGAUUAAUUAGCUGUGCUGCAAGGAUUCCAACUUUAAAAGUCAUGCUGCAAGGACAAGUCCUCUAUAUGAUUCUUCAGUACAGUUCAAAAUAAAUCACGAUGCAGAGCAGAUUCAAUCUUUUGAUUUUAGACAACAAAGAGUUUCAUUGCUCUUAAGGUCUUUGUUUGCCUUUUUAUGGGAGGUCUUUGUUUGCUUGGAUUGAUGCGCGCGACUGACACAAUUUACAACAUUUUUUGACUGACAGCAUAGACCAUAGUUUCAGUUUUACAAUGUUUCCAGAGAGAGUAUAAUACUGAUGCACCAUUUAUUUCAGAGAAGAAAAAGGUUCCAUGAGGGUGUAUAUUACAGAAGUGGAGAAAGAGCUCGCCUACCAUGCAUGUUGCCUGGUCCGAUGAGCAGUGCUACGCCAAGUGCCCUGUCAGAGUGCAGCCGCACAGCGCUGCCUGCUGUUGAGGACCCCGGAGCCUAGACAGUUAGCUUGGCAACUUCCAGCCCCCACCGCCUUUCCUGACAGCCACGACACCCAUCUUUUCGUCUAUGCCUCAUUGGAUGCACUUCCAUUUGUGCUACCAAACUUUUUCACGAAAAGUGUAGUACCAGUUGGUGUGAUAUCAUGUCCUUAGAAACGCCCCCGAUGGAAUGACCACGACCAUGUUGUUGCCUGGAGUCUUUUUCAUGAUGAUGUCGCUAUUCGUCAUCCCACAAUUUAUGCGGUGGAGCGUCAACGACCUCAGCGUGUUGCAGGAGAAGACCAUGAAUAUCGGCAAGAAAGAUGUUGAUCCAGGAAGGUGCAACACUGUGAUGUGAGGUGAACACAAGCAUGGCCUACAAUCUCGACGCCCACCAUCCAUGUGCCUUGCAAGCAGCAAUUGUUCACAUCCUUGAUAUUUGUCACUGCCCUCAUCUCAUCUAUCCCGACAGUCUCAGUGUCCAGGCAAGGUAUGUCUAUGUCAGUUGAACCGUCACUCGAGUUACAACAAUUCCAAUCUUUUUCCUAUAUCUGCAAUUGGGUGGACUAUGGUAUGAAUCAGUUUAUAAGCAACCAUGGUGUACAUGAAUCUCUGUUGGUGUGAACUGUCAAAAGCAUUUCCUACUAUUUCUACCUCUGUUUCAUCUUCUAAAUCUAGAUUCUAGACUUGGAUAUUAUCUAGCAACAAUCUGUUCAUGAGAAAAGCAUGGCUGAGAGUCAUACUAGAUGUAUGCAUAAUACCGGGACAAGAUAUUUACCUUCCAUUAUCCCAGAAGGGAAACAUAAUACUAAACUGCCAUAAAAUAUAUGUGAGGGCUUACAUCAUCGUUGAGGUCAAAUUUGUAUCUUUAUUAUCACCCUGAUAAAACAUGGUUUUGCUAAUUGACUUCAUCUUAUUUCAACUUUGUUAGUUCAGUUCACGUGCUCUGUUAGAGACCAACCCCAAUGUGUAUGCUACAACCACUGAAAGAAGUAUGUUGCCUUGAUUUUUUUAAUUCAGUUAAUUUGUAUUAAUUGUGUGGCAUCAUAAUGCAAGGUAAAUGCAGAGCUAUACUUUCUAUUCUCGUGCCUUCUAUUAAAAUCAUGCAGAUGCUCCGGUCAUCGUUGUUCAUAUGUUUUGACUCUUGUCGAGCCUCUUCUGUGAGGCACACAUAGUUUGGGAGUAUGCCUAUGGCAAUUUAUCUAUUUCCAUGAUUGAAGAUACGUUUUUAAAUUGAACAAAACAAAUUAUAUGAGAGGCAUAUGUUUUGUUUUUGCUGUCCCAAACUACAGAGAGCCUUGCAAAUUUCCAGGACUCUGUUUCCUCUUGGAACUCUCCUAACUAUGCAUUCUUGAUCACUGUCGAACAUUGAUCGACAGACUGCUCUGUUUACAAACUCUAUUUUUUCUAGGUUUUCUUGUGAAAAUUGAUGAUACCCCAAUGCAGAGCCUUUUGUAGCCUUGUUGCUGGUGACAGAUUUCAGACGAUAACCUAAAUGUAGGCAUUAAACACAACAAGGUCAGGAUAUGAUAAUGGCCCAAGGCCGUGCCGACAAAUCUGGAAAUACUCUAGAACAAAAUAAUAAUCUGGCAGUGGCCCAAGAGAGCUAUUAGUUCUUGGAUUUUUAUACCCUCAUGUUAAUACUUAACUGUUACAAUUUUUAUUUUUCUUCUCAUUAUAUGUACCUAAUAAUGAUUUAGUUCAUUUCUGGAUGCUUGGACUAAAUCACUGCCAACUUUCUAUAACUUACAGCCUUUGCUUCUUAAGGAAUUGGAGCACUACACUCCCAUUUGUUAAUAGUUACACAUGGUGUAUGCCUGUAUGAGUACUCAAUGUUGUUGUCUGAUGUCUGUACAUUUGUUUGAGCACCACACGAUCUCAUGAAAGAUUUGUAUUGCU